AGAGUUUGAUCAUGGCUCAGAAUCAACGCUGGCGGCGUGCCUCAGACAUGCAAGUCGAACGCGAAAGUCUCCUUCGGGGGAUGAGUAGAGUGGCGCACGGGUGAGUAACACAUAGGUAAUCUACCUUCGGGUGGGGAAUAACCCAGGGAAACUUGGGCUAACACCGCAUAAUGCAGCGGCACCACAUGGUGACAGUUGUUAAAGCGGGGGAUUUUCGGACCUCGCGCCUGAAGAGGAGCCUGCGGCAGAUUAGCUUGUUGGUAAGGUAACGGCUUACCAAGGCGACGAUCUGUAGCCGGCCUGAGAGGGCGGUCGGCCACACUGACACUGACAUACGGGUCAGACUCCUACGGGAGGCAGCAGUCGGGAAUUUUGGGCAAUGGGCGAAAGCCUGACCCAGCAACGCCGCGUGAAGGAUGAAAUCCCUCGGGAUGUAAACUUCGCAAGAGUGGGAAGAAUUAGUAGGGGUUAAUACCCCCUAUGAUGACGGUACCAUUUGUAAGCUCCGGCUAACUCCGUGCCAGCAGCCGCGGUAAUACGGGGGGAGCAAGCGUUGUUCGGAUUUACUGGGCGUAAAGGGCGCGUAGGCGGCCAGCACAAGUCAGUUGUGAAAUCUCCGGGCUUAACUCGGAAAGGUCAACUGAUACUGUGCGGCUAGAGUGCGGAAGGGGCAACUGGAAUUCUCGGUGUAGCGGUGAAAUGCGUAGAUAUCGAGAGGAACACCUGCGGCGAAGGCGGGUUGCUGGGCCGACACUGACGCUGAUGCGCGAAAGCCAGGGGAGCGAACGGGAUUAGAUACCCUAGUAGUCC
rnacentral:rRNA from 1 species